GGGGCUAUGGUCUAGCUUGGCUAUGAUAUACGCUUAGGGAGCGUAUGACCCCAGUUCAAAUCUGGGUAGCCCCA
rnacentral:tRNA from 2 species